rnacentral:misc_RNA from 1 species
GAUUUUUCUCAAUAAUACGUCAUUAUAAACGUUUUAAUUUUACUCGAAUAAACAUAUCAAUAUAUUUACUGGAAUGCAGCAUAAGUUCAGCGAUACUGAGUACACAGGUCAUUGCCAGAGUGAGAAAUCCGCAGAGUCUACGACCCCAUCGGUCGAGCAACAGGGCGAGCAAUAACCCAGCUGGAAGUUCUGUGGCACAGGCGAUCGAGAACGACACGAACACCGAGCUCUGGAUAAAUUUUAACGAAUACACGUGGCCGUCGAACGAGAUCACGGUGAAACACCUACAAGACAGUAUCGUUUCUCGACAACCUUGUCCAUCAUCCCAUUGGAAACGUACCACCUUGAACAGAGCAAAUACGAGUGAUAUGGAUCGAUAAGUAAAUUUGCAUAAAUCUCAAAGCGCAAGUUGAGAAUUCGAAUAAUCGAACGAUUACGAGUUUACUUACCGGGCGCUCUCAGGAAGAAUCCACGGUGUGAUAGCAACGGAUAACAGCGGUAUGGCAGUAACGUAAGUGAAAUAUCUCCAGUUCGCGAUAUAGUAAGCUAUCCAUGGUAAAAUUGUACUGGCCACUGCGAAGUAUACGCCAAAGGCGAUGUUCACGACCAACGUUCGUUUCGAAACAGCCAUAUAUUCGAGCACUGUGGGAUAAUUGAUCGUCGAUAACUCUCGGAAUAACUGAUUAUUAUAUCAAGAUACUUAACGACGAUUAUUCUUUAUGUUACAGUAAUGGAACAUGGAAGAUUUAUCGAGUGAAACCGGUUAUUAUUAAUAUGGAGCAAUUGAUGACGAGCCGAAUGAACGAUAUCAUCAACUUAAUUUUAUCGAACGCCAGUCCGGUGAGGAACCUACAGACGGCGAAUGACCAAAAACUAUUUGCACUGGCAGUGAAAAUGGAGGCAAAAAGGGCGACACCGUUGCAGAACAUC